UACGUAGGGUCCGAGCGUUGUCCGGAAUUAUUGGGCGUAAAGGGCUCGUAGGCGGUUCGUCACGUCGGGAGUGAAAACUCGGGGCUUAACCCCGAGCCUGCUUCCGAUACGGGCAGACUAGAGGUAGGCAGGGGAGAGCGGAACUCCUGGUGUAGCGGUGGAAUGCGCAGAUAUCAGGAAGAACACCGGUGGCGAAGGCGGCCCUCUGGGCCUUACCUGACGCUGAGGAGCGAAAGCGUGGGUAGCGAACAGG
rnacentral:rRNA from 1 species